GACGAACGCUGGCGGCGUGCUUAACACAUGCAAGUCGAACGGUGAAGCGCCUUCCUUUUUGGUGGGUGUGGAUGAGUGGCGAACGGGUGAGUAACACGUGAGUAACCUGCCCCCUUCUUCUGGAUAACCGCAUGAAAGUGUGGCUAAUACGGGAUAUUCUGGGUCUGUCGCAUGAUGGGUCUGGGAAAGAUAUUGUUUCGGUGGGGGAUGGGCUCGCGGCCUAUCAGCUUGUUGGUGGGGUGAUGGCCUACCAAGGCGGUGACGGGUAGCCGGCCUGAGAGGGUGGACGGUCACACUGGGACUGAGACACGGCCCAGACUCCUACGGGAGGCAGCAGUGGGGAAUAGUGCACAAUGGGCGCAAGCCUGAUGCAGCGACGCCGCGUGAGGGAUGGAGGCCUGCGGGUUGUGAACCUCUUUCGCCAGUGAAGCAGGCCUGCCUCGUUUGUGGGUGGGUUGACGGUAGCUGGAGAAGAAGCGCCGGCUAACUACGUG
rnacentral:rRNA from 1 species